ACCCUUUGUGAACCUUACCGUCGUUGCCUCGGCGGGCUGUACUUACCCUGUAGCUACCCUGUAGCUACCCGGUAGGUGCGCUCCAAGCCCGCCGGUGGACCACUAAAUUCUAUUUUACUACUGUAUCUCUGAAUGCUUCAACUUAAUAAGUUAAAACUUUCAACAACGGAUCUCUUGGUUCUGGCAUCGAUGAAGAACGCAGCGAAAUGCGAUAAGUAAUGUGAAUUGCAGAAUUCAGUGAAUCAUCGAAUCUUUGAACGCACAUUGCGCCCAUUAGUAUUCUAGUGGGCAUGCCUAUUCGAGCGUCAUUUCAACCCUUAAGCCUAGUUGCUUAGUGUUGGGAAUCUGCCCUGUAUUUAUAGGGCAGUUCCUUAAAGUGAUCGGCGGAGUUAGGGCAUACUCUAAGCGUAGUAAUAUUCUUCUCGCUUCUGUAGUUGUCCUGGCGGCUUGCCGUUAAACCCCUAUAUUUCUAGUGGUUGACCUCGGAU
rnacentral:rRNA from 1 species